UGAGAAAGUACAAUUGUGUGAGGAAGAUGAAGAAACAAAUCGGUUUGGUGAUGAUCGCGGUGGUGAUGUUGUGUAGCCAAUGUUUGAUUAGCAUCGAAGCAAGACCGAUCAUCGAGCGUCGGAAUCUGCUUGCGAAUGGGCUUGGGAUGACUCCUCCCAUGGGUUGGAACACUUGGAAUCACUUUUAUUGCGAUAUCAAUGAGACUAUAAUUAGAGAAUCAGCGGAUUCAUUGGUGUCUACUGGGCUUGCUAAACUUGGAUAUCGAUAUGUUAACAUAGAUGAUUGUUGGGCUGAGCAUGAUCGCGAUUCAACGGUUUGUA